rnacentral:misc_RNA from 1 species
AGAGAUCGUAGAAGGUGACAGACUGAACACUAAAGUGCUCUCAGAUUCAUUUCAUAAAGAGUUAUCGGAUAAUUGAAUUAUUUUCAAAGUGCUAUCAUAUUCAUCCCCUAAAGAUUUUUCAUUUGAUAUAUGAAUUAUGUGUAUCUUUAUUACACUUGCAUUAGAAUCAUGUGAUGCUGUUAAUUCAUACCUUUAUCUGACCCAAUGGGUUUUUUCUAUACAAAAGGAAUGGUUGAAUUAAAAAAAAUUGAAAC